rnacentral:lncRNA from 1 species
UGAGAUGACAAGUGCAGCCGCAGAACCCUCACCGGCUGUCUCCCUUCCUGAGCGUCUCUGAACUGACUGGCCCUUGGUGAAACUUCAGCCAACUAGGGCUUCAUUCCUUUCUCUGUCAGCCUUGCGAGUCUUGGACAUGCUUUUCUCACUGAGUUGUCAGCGUCUCUGGGUUUUCUCAUUGUGCACUGUGCACAGUGCCGGGCACAGAGUGUCUUCCUACCAUCCUUCUUGCUAGGGUCCUCUGCCAUUUGUGGAAGCCCCCUCUAUACCUCACACUGUCUUCUCACAGGGCAGCCUAUGCUGCCUUCCUGACUGUGUCCUGUGAUGGCGUGCAGGACUGCAAGGUCACUUUGCAGAGCGUCUGUUUUCUUAUUUAUAAAAUGGGAAUCAUAUCUAUCUUCUCUUUCUCCUGAGGUGGAGGUGAAGGUCAAGCACAGAGCCCUCCUGGCAUAUCCAGUGCUCUCUCCGUUAUGAGGAGGGGUAAGGAGUGAGGAUGGUGUUUCCGGGAAAGCAGAGGUGAGGCCCGCUGGACUCCAGGCAGCUCUCUGCUCUCCUUGCCUUUUGCCUCAGAUUUUUGCAUGUCAGUCGGUCUGGAGAGGAGAUGAUGCUCUGAAGGUGCUGCCUGGCUCUGAACUGUGGAAGCCAAGAGCUCUGGUGGGGUUGGAACUGAAGGUCCACCACAUUUGCCCCAAGAAGAACAUCCUUGCUGGCCUUGCUGAGGGAGCCUGGCAUGCAUCAUGCUUGGCAAUUGUCUUCCUGAGACUCCCCUGCUGGGACAGCGACAGGGCAUGGGGCCCUGAAUGCAUGACAACAACAACUGCAGGUCUCCUGACCCUUGUUUGUAGAGGUGGGUCAUCUCUAGUACCGACCUCCAUCCACCUGCGAAGCAGGGCUGGUCACUUUGUUACCAGCCACAGCCCUCCCCUGGAGGGAUCUGCAGUGUAAACGGAUCAUGUGAGUGCUGACCUUUGCAAAGGUCCAAAUGUGGUCAAUUCAGUUAUUCAUACCAGGCAAGGAAGCUGCCUUAUGAAUAAUUCAAAGUUGUUGCAAAUCCACAAACCUUUUUCACAUUGCCUGCUUGCAGUAGGCUCUCCAUAAAUGUUUACUGAAUCACUGAAUAAAUUAACAUAUGAAUGAAUAUUUUGCAAUAAGCUUUUGGUAUUUACAUUUGCACAUCCAUCUGUUGAUGCUCUGAGGAUCAGCAGCAGUCCUCACAAAAGGGCUCAGGCAUGCUCCCAAAACAGGCCAGAAAAGCCAAGUGGGCCAUGGUUCUCUCUUGCUCUGCAAGGGUGGCGGGGAAUAGAAAAAAAUGUUCCCAUGGCUGAUACAGCCUCUAGCUAGAAGCUGUGAGAUUCCUGACACACGCCAUGCCAGAUUUGUGUGGCUUAACACUUUUAUUCUGCUUUUAUAACCCUCUCCUCUAGCUUUGGUUAAAACUACUAUGUGGUCAGCAGAAUGGCCCCCCAAAGAUGUUUGGGCCCUCACCCCUGGAAACUGUGACUAUGUUACAUCAUGUGGGAAGAGGACUUUGCAGAUAUGAUUAAAGUUAUGGACCUUACAAUAGAGAAUUAUCUUGAAUUAUCUGGGCAGGCCCAACCAAAUCACAUGUGUCCUCAAAAGCGAAGAACUCUCUUCACGGGAGUCCGAGAGAUGGGGCUGAAGGAGAAGUGGGAGGGAUGGAAAGGUGAGAAUGCUCCAUGGGCUGUUAGGGGCUUGCAGAGGGUGGGGCAGUGAGUCCAGGAAUGCAGGUGGCCCCAAGGAGCUGA